AGUAACGCGUGAGAAACCUGCCUUUCAGUGGGGGACAACAGUUGGAAACGACUGCUAAUACCGCAUAAUGUCAUUUGGGGGCAUCCCUGAAUGACCAAAGAUUUAUUGCUGAAAGAUGGUCUCGCGUCUGAUUAGCUAGAUGGCGGGGUAACGGCCCACCAUGGCGACGAUCAGUAGCCGGUCUGAGAGGAGGAACGGCCACAUUGGGGCUGAGAUACGGCCCAGACUCCUACGGGAGGCAGCAGUGGGGAAUAU
rnacentral:rRNA from 1 species